UGUGUGUGUGUGUGUGUACAUGUGUGUUUUGUGGUCAUGUGUAUGUUUUUGAGUGUGUGUGUGUGUGUGUGUGUGUUUGGAAGGACCAGAUGUUUGUGUGUAUGUGUGUUAUUGUGUGUGUGUGUGUGUUUGGGAGGACCGGAUGUGUGUUUUGUGGUCAUGUGUGUGUGUGUGUGUGUGUGUGUGUGUGUGUGAGGUUCCGUCCUGCACGCCACCCCUCCUGCUGUUGCCUCCGCCCGCCGGUCUGUGUUGAGAGAGUUGCCCAAGUGGACCUUCUCGCCCUACCCAUGGGUUAAAUCUCAUUAUUCCAUGCAUUUUGAGCCCCAUAUAUAUGCAUCGCAAAUUUACAGAAAUGCUACUUCCGAUUUUUAAAGAGUUAGUGUUUUUUGCGGGCUGUGGUGUUGUGCCCCGGGCGUGGGAGGGAUAGCGUACGACUCACUAAUUGGGCACACACUCGCCUGGUAAGGUUAUAUUAAUUCUUGUGGGCUGUGGUGUUGUGCCCCGGGCGUGGGAGGGAUAGCGUACGCCUCACUAAUUGGGCACACACUCGCCUGGUAAGGUUAUAUUAAUUCUUGUGGGCUGUGGUGUUGUGCCCCGGGCGUGGGAGGGAUAGCGUACGACUCACUAAUUGGGCACACACUCGCCUGGUAAGGUUAUAUUAAUUCUUGUGGGCUGUGGUGUUGUGCCCCGGGCGUGGGAGGGAUAGCGUACGACUCACUAAUUGGGCACACACUCGCCUGGUAAGGUUAUAUUAAUUCUUGUGGGCGGCAGUGGUGGACAGCCAGUGUUGCGAGAAAUACCUCCUCGCUGGAAAGAGUUGCAUGUACAUGUGGGGGGGUUCGCAAGGGGGUCGAGGGGGCCGUUAGCUGUCAGGUCAUAGAGCUCGGUUAGGCUAGUUUCAAUAUGCUCCCCCAGCCUACACCCUCUGUGAGCUAUUUUGCGGCAGCGGCGGCGGACGAUGAAAUUGCAAUAAGUCACUCUUUAAGAAGGGCCACAUUUUAAAACACUUCUGCGCCCAAGAACACGUCAUAUACUAGUCUUUCAUGGGAGCUCAGGGCAUUUCCAGGGGUACUUUUAUGACCCUGGUGGUAGUCUGAGCCUUCUCCUGUACCGUGAACCUAAAGAAGGGCCAUAUUUUAAAACACUUCUGUGCCCAAGAACACGUCAUAUACUAGUCUUUCAUGGGAGCUCAGGGCAUUUCCAGGGGUACUUUUAUGACCCUGGUGGUAGUCUGAGCCUUCUCCUGUACCGUGAACCUAAAAGAACACUCAUUAGAACUCGACGAACCUCUUUUUUGGCCUUUGGAAAUUGUUGAUGUGGUCGUUUUAGAAUAGCAAGCUAAAUGUUACUGGACAAACAUCGGUAUAAUUCUACAGCGUCACACUUUGACAGCCAUGAACGCCGCGGUGCUCUGUGAAGGGUUGAGCGCCCAUACGAGACAGUGCCGUAUUGGUUGCCCUUCGGAAAUCGCUCCUUCCUGUGAUAUAGCGAUGGGUAAGUAUUAAGAUUCACUCCGUGCUUCCGAAACAGGAUACUUCGCCUCCAUGUUAUAGUUAGGGGACGAAUUAAUUAAGCGGCCCUCUUGUCAAAUUACAGGCAUGCAAAUUAAGAAACGUGAGCUCGGAAAUAAUGAAAAAAAUGUGAGAAAAUUGAAGAUUGUGAGAGAACGAGAGACAGUAGGAGAGAAAGCAAGGCAGGGUAAGAUAGAGCAAAGAUUCCUCUACAAUCACACCCAAACGGAUCGCUGCUACCCUAGACAGGAGCGGAGUUACGGUAGGUUAUAUGCAGACUUUGACCAGAAAUUUGAGCGCGGAAAAAGUGAAAAAAUGUGAGAAAAUUAAAGAUAGUGAGAGAACGAGAGACAGUAGGAGAGAAAGCAAGGCAGGGUAAGAUAGAGCAAAGAUUCCUCUACAAUCACACCCAAACGGAUCGCUGCUACCCUAGACAGGAGCGGAGUUACGGUAGGUUAUAUGCAGACUUUGACCCGAAAUUUGAGCGCGGAAAAAGUGAAAAAAUGUGAGAAAAUUAAAGAUAGUGAGAGAACGAGAGACAGUAGAAAGAAAAGCAAGGCAGGGUAAGAUAGAGCAAAGAUUCCUCUACAAUCACACCCAAACGGAUCGCUGCUACCCUAGACAGGAGCGGAGUUACGGCAGGUUAUAUGCAGACUUUGACCAGAAAUUUGAGCGCGGAAAAAGUGAAAAAAUGUGAGAAAAUUGAAGAUUGUGAGAGAACGAGAGACAGUAGAAAGAAAAGCAAGGCAGGCUAAGAUAGAGCAAAGAUUCUUCUACAAUCACACCCAAACGGAUCGCUGCUACCCUAGACAGGAGCGGAGUUACGGUAGGUUAGAUGCAGACUUUGACCAGAAAUUUGAGCGCGGAAAAAGUGAAGAAAUGUGAGAAAAUUAAAGAUAGUGAGAGAACGAGAGACAGUAGGAGAGAAAGCAAGCCAGGGUAAGAUAGAGCAAAGAUUCCUCUACAAUCACACCCAAACGGAUCCCUGCUACCCUAGUCCGGAGCCGAGCUAUGGGCCUCUAACUGACACCAUCUCAAUCUU